GACCCAGUAGUGAACGGAUCACACCUGUCUUUCUUGGUUCUUGCGUGGCGUUGAAAAAAUAGAGCAGGAGCCCCCGGUUCGACUCCGGGCUGGGUCC